CUUGGGGGGGCAGCUAACCAUGCAAGUCGAGCGGCAGCGGAAGUAGCUUGCUACUUUGCCGGCGAGCGGCGGACGGGUGAGUAAUGUCUGGGAAACUGCCUGAUGGAGGGGGAUAACUACUGGAAACGGUAGCUAAUACCGCAUAACGUCGCAAGACCAAAGAGGGGGACCUUCGGGCCUCUUGCCAUCAGAUGUGCCCAGAUGGGAUUAGCUAGUAGGUGGGGUAACGGCUCACCUAGGCGACGAUCCCUAGCUGGUCUGAGAGGAUGACCAGCCACACUGGAACUGAGACACGGUCCAGACUCCUACGGGAGGCAGCAGUGGGGAAUAUUGCACAAUGGGCGCAAGCCUGAUGCAGCCAUGCCGCGUGUAUGAAGAAGGCCUUCGGGUUGUAAAGUACUUUCAGCGGGGAGGAAGGUGUUGAGGUUAAUAACCUCAGCAAUUGACGUUACCCGCAGAAGAAGCACCGGCUAACUCCGUGCCAGCAGCCGCGGUAAUACGGAGGGUGCAAGCGUUAAUCGGAAUUACUGGGCGUAAAGCGCACGCAGGCGGUCUGUCAAGUCAGAUGUGAAAUCCCCGGGCUCAACCUGGGAACUGCAUUCGAAACUGGCAGGCUAGAGUCUUGUAGAGGGGGGUAGAAUUCCAGGUGUAGCGGUGAAAUGCGUAGAGAUCUGGAGGAAUACCGGUGGCGAAGGCGGCCCCCUGGACAAAGACUGACGCUCAGGUGCGAAAGCGUGGGGAGCAAACAGGAUUAGAUACCCUGGUAGUCCACGCCGUAACGAUGUCGACUUGGAGGUUGUGCCCUUGAGGCGUGGCUUCCGGAGCUAACGCGUUAAGUCGACCGCCUGGGGAGUACGGCCGCAAGGUUAAAACUCAAAUGAAUUGACGGGGGGCCCGCACAAGCGGUGGAGCAUGUGGUUUUAUUCGAUGCAACGCGAAGAACCUUACCUACUCUUGACAUCCAGAGACUUUCCAGAGAUGGAUUGGUGCCUUCGGGAACUCUGAGACAGUGCUGCAUGGCUGUCGUCAGCUCGUGUUGUGAAUGUUGGGUUAAGUCCGCCACGAGCGCAACCCUUUAUUCUUUUGUGCCAGCGGUUCGCCGGGAACUCAAGGAACUGCAGUGAUAACCUGAGGAGGUGGGGAUGACUCAGUCACUUGUCCUACGAGUAGGGCUCACCCACGGGUGCCUACAAUUGC
rnacentral:rRNA from 1 species